CUACGGGGGGCUGCAGUCGAGAAUCAUUCACAAUGGGGGAAACCCUGAUGGUGCAACGCCGCGUGGAGGAUGACGGUCCUCGGAUUGUAAACUCCUGUCAUCCGGGAGUAAGACCUGACGGUGAACAGCCGGCAGGGUUGAUAGUACCGGAAGAGGAAGGGACGGCUAACUUCGUGCCAGCAGCCGCGGUAAUACGAAGGUCCCAAGCGUUGGUCGGAAUCACUGGGCGUAAAGGGGGCGUAGGCGGCAUGGCAAGUCAGAUGUGAAAUCCCGGGGCUCAACCCCGGAACUGCAUCCGAUACUGCCGUGCUUGAGGACCGGAGAGGAGACUGGAAUUCUCGGUGUAGCAGUGAAAUGCGUAGAGAUCGAGAGGAACACUCGUGGCGAAGGCGAGUCUCUGGACGGUUCCUGACGCUGAGGCACGAAGGCCGGGGUAGCGAAAGGGAUUAGAUACCCCUGUAGUC
rnacentral:rRNA from 1 species